UUGCUCUAAAAUGGUAUUUUUAUGCCCCACCUACGAUAGUAGAGGGGCAUUAUGUUUUCUGGUCUGUGCGUCCGUUCGUCCGUCCGUCUGUCCGUCUGUUCGUUCGUUCGUCCGUUCGUUCGUCCGUCUGUCCCGCUUCAGGUUAAAGUUUUUGGUCAAGGUAGUUUUUGAUGAAGUUGAAGUCCAAUCAACUUGAAACUUAGUAUACAUGUGCCCUAUGAUAUGAUCUUUCUAAUUUAAAUGCCAAAUUAUAGUUUUGACCCCAAUUUUACGGUUCACUGAACAUAGAAAAUGAUAGUGCAAAUUUCAGGUUAAAGUUUUUGGUCAAGGUAGUUUUUGAUAAAGUAGAAGUCCAAUCAACUUGAAACUUAGUAUACAUGUUCCCUUUGAAAAGAUCAUUCUAAUUUUAAUGCAAAAUUAGAGAAUUUAUUCCAAUUUCACGGUCCACUAAACAUAGAAAAUGAUAGUGCGAGUGGGGCAUCCGUGUACUGUGGACACA
rnacentral:lncRNA from 1 species